rnacentral:rRNA from 1 species
UACGAGUGCCUCAAGCGUUAUCCGGAAUCAUUGGGCGUAAAGGUUGUGUAGGUGGUUGUACUAGUCUUCUGUUAAAUUCUUCGGCUUAACCGGGGGCAUGCAGGGGAAACGGUACGACUCGAGGAUGCGAGGGGUUAGCGGAACUCAUAGUGUAGCGGUGAAAUGCGUUGAUAUUAUGGGGAAACACCAAAAGCGAAGGCAGCUAACUGGAGCACUCCUGACACUGAAACAAGAAAGCGUGGGUCGCGAAUGGG